rnacentral:rRNA from 1 species
CCUACGGGAGGCAGCAGUGGGGAAUCUUGCGCAAUGGCCUAACGGCUGACGCAGCGACGCCGCGUGUGGGAUGAAGCUCCUCGGAGUGUAAACCACUGUUGCCCGGGACGAAUAGCUCGAUUAGUCGAGCCUGACGGUACCGGGUGAGGAAGCACCGGCUAACUCCGUGCCAGCAGCCGCGGUAAUACGGGGGGUGCGAGCGUUGUCCGGAAUCACUGGGCGUAAAGGGCGCGUAGGUGGUUUGAUAAGGGUGUGGUGAAAGUCCGGGGCUCAACCCCGGAUCUGCCGUGCCGACUGUCAAACUCGAGGACUGUAGAGGCAGACGGAAUUCCGGGUGUAGCGGUGGAAUGCGUAGAGAUCCGGAGGAAGACCGGUGGCGAAGGCGGUCUGCUGGGCAGUUUCUGACACUGAGGCGCGACAGCGUGGGGAGCAAACAGGAUUAGAUACCCUGGUAGUCCACGCCGUAAACGAUGGGUACUAGGUGCCUGGGGGAGCGACCCUCUGGGUGCCGGCGCUAACGCAGGAAGUACCCCGCCUGGGGAGUACGACCGCAAGGUUGAAACUCAAAGGAAUUGACGG